GAGAGCGGGAAAAAGCAUGAGGGUAUGAACUGCAGCUCCAUAGCCUACUGGUUUUAGGAUAUUCCACCAAACAAAAAUGGACCGUUGUCAUGGAGAGAGGGUAAGAAAAAGCAUGAAUUCCGUUAAUGUGGAGGAGCGGAAAAAACAAAUGGGCCGUUGUCAUGGAGAUUGACCGUUAAGAAAAACCCUGAAUUCCUAAACCCUAUUUAAUAGGACAUCGUCAAUUUCAAAGCCUCAAAUGUUCCAAUAUUUUUAUAUGACUCUCAUAGUAGUCGCGCAUAAAUCUGUUUUAAACAUCUUCUUGAGCUUUGUAUACAGAGAGUGUCCUUUUUUGUGAAUGUCUUUCUCUUGUUAUGAUUUUCGUUUUAUUUUCUUUUGGAUUUUUCAUUUUUCUGUAGGAUUUUGUACAGUGUGCACGCUGGUCUGUCGCUCCAUUUGUGAUUUGUUCUGUUUUUUUGGUUUGUCAGUCCAUUUGUGAUUUUUUCCUUUUUGUUUGUUUGUUUGUUUUUGGUUUCUUGGAUUUAGCAGAGGAAGAGGCAGGGCAGAGGCAGGACAGAAGAAGAAGCAGAGCAAAGUUAGUGGCAACUGAUGGAGUUAAAAUACUUCUAGUAAUGACCACGUGACAGGGUUACACACAAUUCAGGUAGAUAGUGCAAGCUCACAACUAUUCUUAGUGGCCUCUUGAGGCGGGUUGCUGAACAGUUUGCUACCAAGGAUCCCAAAGAGAGCUAAGCAUCUAGAUCAGUUAAUUAUUUUUUCACCAUUAUGGUGGGAUCAAUUAUAGGAGUGACUUCGUGGGUGUAGAUUUAGAGCAGCAAAGAAUGAGAUUGGUUAUUUGUUAUUUCUUUAGUAAUAUUUUUGUCUAUUAUAUUGAUCAUUAAUAAAAAAAAAAGUUAUUGAAAGGGGUUCAAAACCCCUUUUAAAGACUGAAGGGAAUUGUUAUUGGCCA